UUGUGAACAUAUUUACAGAAUGAUGUGUAAUAGAUCUAGCAAAGGCUGAAGGCUGGUAAUAGUGACUGAUGUAGUACCGUGGAGAAAAGAAACCUGAACACUGCUCUCCGAGGAGGCUGAGCGAGGAGUGAGGGCUGGUAUGUUGAAUGCCUCUGAUAAGCUGAAUCUUGAAUCCAGCCUUGUCGUGGUUUGCUUGCUGUAUAAUCUCAUUAAGCCAGUGGGGACUGCACUGAGGAAAAAUCACCGGAGAAUUUUUUGUAUUCUGUAGCUGACAAAGGGAAUGUCCUGAAUUUAUUCUACUGGCAUGGUUUUACUUUCAGGUGCUUUUUCAGCAGGAAGGGGCAAUCUGACAUCUUGUCUGAGAACAACCUGACUGGCCCUUGCUGGAUACUGGUUUGUAGAAGGCACUGAUGGAUGCUUCCCCCUGUGAAAGGAGGACCUCCCAUCAAUAACUUCUGGUCAGCAACUUCCAUGCCACACGGGCUCAUCUCAAAGGCUUAUGCCAUGAAGAGAAGAAGCACCACCAGUUUUGCAGAGUAUGGUCCUGGCAGGUGGAGAGAUGAAAGGCCUUUACAGGCAAUGAUCUACAGAGCAAAAGCAGAUCAUUACCUCAUGAAUGAGGUUCUGCUUUUUAAACAGUGACCUCAAGAGAAGCUCUGCAGGAUGAAAGGGUUAUUAUGUGGCUGGACACCUUGAGUCACCUGGGACCAUGGUGCAGACCAGGACCCUGUAUAUGCCUGGAAUAGAAACACAGCCCGAGAACAACAUAAAAGACAGUGAAUAGGACAGGAUUAAAAGAGCCAACCCCUCCUCGAGAAACAAGGUUUUGCCAUUUGUCCUUACCCAGAAGGAUUUAAGUGUCCCCCAUCCUUUAGGAAGUCCUCGUUUACCUCUAUGGUACCAUCUGUUAACCUGAGUAAUGCGGUCUGUUCAGAACUUGAGUGUGAAUUUAAGGAGCUGGCCAAGGGGUCAGGUGUUUGCCUAAUUUUCCGUAGCCUGAAUGUGAAAGAAAGGUGGGUCAGGUCUGCAGAGACGUGGGAAGACACGGCUCUGCUCCGCUCCUGCUUUGCCCCGGUGGGAAACCAUUCCACACAGGAGCCCCAGCGCUGCCCAGGUGUCGUGGCUAAUAAGCCCCAUGGAGAGUGGGAUGGAGACCUGGAACGCAACGCCGACUUAAUGUGUCCGUCUGGCUCCCGGAGCCGGCUGGCUUAGCCCAGGAAGGAGCCCACUGCCUCAGCUUGGACAGCGAGGGAAGAUGCUCCCUUGGAACAAGAAAAAAUAUCAACUCUUCUGACUUCUGUGGCUUUUCCACGGGCUCCAGGUGUUCCUAUAGAACAGUAAGACUGGUUUACUGUUCCUCACAAGCUGAAAGGUACAUCAGUAAAAUGCACUUGGGUGCCUAUUGUGCAUGUGGAAAGGUGAAGAAAGCAUUUGUGAACCAGCAAAUUCUCAGUGUUCUUGCAGUUUUGAAACUUUUUCAUACUGAGACAUGUUGAGGAGGAAGGAAGGAAGGACUGAAGUUUCUGGACAAUGAAAAUUAUCAGCAGAAGCAGAAAAAUGGUAGCGUGGUCAAGAGCAGCAUUAUGUACGUAUGUCCUGGUAUCACUUUAGAGUCAUGUGUGCCCCUGCUUUUUGGUCAGACUGUGAGGAGGCUGAUGACCUACCCUGUACCAGCUGUCUUUUAGAAACCCCCGUGGUGUCCAGGAGCAAUGUAAUGACUAAAGUUAUUUCUCCAGGGGACAGAUAGUUUGUGAAUAUGAUAGCUGUUCAAGUGAUACAUGAAAGAGCGUGUGACUCAAUAUGCUCUAGUGGCUAGGCAGUUAUUGUGCUGAAAUAAUCACUAUUUCUAGCUUUUUUUACUUCUUUCUUGCUCACAGACAUCCUUACACUUUUGCAGAGGGUGCAAAAUUUUGCCUUCCUUUUUCAGCUUUGUUGAAGGUAAGGUAAGCCAAUAGCAGGGCCAGGGCCAGGACCAGAACCAACAUCCCAUUAAUUAAAUCACCACCACUUCCAGUGUCUCCUGUUUCUUCCCAGUUGUUGGCUGAGGUGCUGAUCUAUACUCCUUUGGUCGUGUUUUAGGUCAACAAAGGUGUGCCACCCUGGGACCUUCAGUGCUUCCAGUUAUCUAGUGCCUCAUGUCUCAUGGAAAAAAGGCAUAUCAUCAUGUAACCACCCAUUUUGUCUCCAAAUACAAUGGAAAAAAGCUGGAGAAAGCUCAAGAAGAUCAAGCAAGUUUAAAAUAUGGGUUACUGAUCAAAACCAGAUGUGUGAUUAGUGUUUGGGGCACAUCUAGAUACAAGGAUUCCAUAAUAAAUGUGCAUGUAAAAGGCCUAUAGGUGCUGAAAUAAUACAUAAAAGAAUGACAAUUAAUUGUGUAAUUGAUUUUAUUUUAAUGAUUUUUUGAAUCUCCCUCACCUCUUGUAGCUUCUCCUGCAAAUGGAUAAUGCCUGGCAGAAUUUGGGGACUAUUAGGAAACUAACAGUACAUUCUGCAUUAGAUGACAAAUGGCUUGUAUGAUUUUCCAGCUGAAGUAUGCAGAGCUGUGGAACAGUUAAAUGCUUAAGAGAUGCUCUUCAGACUGUCUACAGCUGGUGUCCAGUUUGGCUGCCGUGGUUGCUGUUUCCCAACAAGUGAACUGAGACUCAGGACAUGCCAGCAGGGAAGAAGGGGACAAAACAUUCACAUACUAAUAGCUCAUACAACUGAAGAGGAAAAAGCUCGGCCCACUCAAAUCAUGUAAAUGGAGAGUGACAACAAAAGCUCCAACCUGGGAUGUUUGCAUGGACUCACAUGUACCAGGACUGAAGAAAGAGAGGUACUGUCACUGAAAGAAAGAAGAAAACGGACAAUUGCCUUUUCUAGGGGAAGCCAAGUGAAAGGCCAGAACGGGGAAGAGCUACAAACUUCUCCAGCCUCCAGAUUUUAAUGAGCCUAUUAGUGUGUGGAAAUGCCUAUCCCUCAGUGUGCAGAGUGCUGACAAGCAGAUAAUAGUAUCGUGUUCUACACACAGUUGGAAUCUGAAGGGUACUAAGAAGAGGAGAGGCAUUAUAUUAUAGCCACAUUGUACUUGAAGGAAUUGCCCUUGCUUCACUUUCAAGGAUCCUACUGUUCUCUACAAAUUUGGUCUUCUUUCAUCAUAUCAUUGAAAGUGAUCUUUAUUAAAGAAAUAUGAGCCUUAGAAAGAAUCCUGUAGCAGCUUGUUUAUUAAAUGAAUAAUGCUUUAGUGGUUCAUCCUUAUGGACAUUGGAAAAUGUUAUCUGAAGCAAGCUGAAAUGUACAGAAUCACAGUAUCAUAGAAUAUCUCGAGUUGGAAGGGGCCCAUAAGUAUCAUGGAGUCCAACUCCCUGAAGCAGAGGUCUUUAUAAUUAAUUCUUUGGGCUGCAUGCAGGUAUGGUGAUGUUGGUGCCACAGGUCUUGUGAUGAGGAGGUUGAACUGCACUAACUGUUGUUAAUGAGAAAAAAGGUGCCUUAGAAGCAUUACCUCUCCCCCUGGGAAGUCCUCCCAUGGUUCUCUUCCGUUACGGCAAGGAUGACCACUGCGGCUUCCAGGGAGCUACAUAACAUUUGGCUGCCUAGACAAAGUAUUGGUCUUUCUGGAGACAACAAAAUGCUUUAUUUUGUAACUAAAAAUGAUUUCCAUGUGCAAGUAAUAUCUGAUCAAGGACAUAUGUCUGCAGAGGCCUGUUGUUUUUUGUCUGGAGUGCCUGCUUACUGAUUUAAAGUCAAAUUCUGCAACCUUAUAUCAACACAAGCCCAUUGUCUCCAGAGAUUGAGAACAGAGUUUGGCUCUGGCACCAGAGAGGUCUACCACAA